rnacentral:lncRNA from 1 species
GGAUUGGGAUAUUCCGACUCCUUAAGGGCCUGGCGCACAUAAGGUGUGACCUUUUCAUUCCCGUUGUUAUGGAGGGCCACAUCUGCCAGAGCCUGGAGUCUGCGAAGGCCGGGACCCGGUUCCCCGGCCCACAGUGGGGGUGUGCAAACCCGAGAGAACUGGGUUGCAAAUUCGUGAAGAAUCAGCAUCAUGUUUGGCAGCUGAGUAUUGGAGCCAGGAGCCUGCCAUGAGGUUUUGAGAACAGAGUGCUGUUUUAGAGCUGGCAGCAGCAUCUCAGCCCAAGAGAAGGUAAGCCUUGAGCUGGCCAAUGAUCCCUUCAACCCCAUAGUGGAAUGAAUAAACAGCUGAUCUUGUUAAAACUCGCUUCAAAAAAAAA